GGCGCGUGCCUUCCUACGGCUAAGAUGGCGACCGAGCUUCCUGAGCCUCUGAAAACCGAGUUGCAGCUGCCUCCGCCUCCACCUCCUGGGCAUUAUGGCGCCUGGGCUACCCAGGAGCUUCAGGCCAAGUUGGUAGAGAUCGGAGCUCCAAUACAGGGGAGUCUGGAGGAGCUGGUGGAGCGGCUGCAGACCUACACCCGCCAGACUGGUAUCCCGCUGAAUCGGCUGGUUUUGAGAGGGGAAGAUGGGGACAAAGCUCCCCCCACCCCCAUAUCAGCACAGUUCUCUGGGAUUCCCAUGCUACCGCCACCCAUGGGACUCCCCAUUCUGCAACCUCCUCCACCACCCCCACCACCUCCAGCAGUCCUUGGCCUUGGCUUUCCUAUGGCCCACCCACCAAAUAUGGGGCCUCCACCUCCUCUCCGAGUGGGUGAGCUCCUGGCACUGUCAGAGGAAGAGUGGCUGACGCUGGCACAGCAACAGGUGGCAUUGCUGGCGCAGCAAGAGGAGCAUGCCAAGCAGCAGGGAGAUCAUUCGCUGAAGGAACAUGAACUUUUGGAGCAGCAGAAAGUGGGCAGCUGUGUUACGGCAGCAGGAAAUAGCCAAGAUGGGCAUCCCUGUCCCUCACAAUACAUGUGCCAAAUUGGUGUGCGUACUCCUCUGGGUCCUCGAGUAGCUGCUCCAGUGGGUCCACGGGCCCCACUCCCACUGUUUUGCCCAUGGGAGCACCUGUUCCUCUGCCUCCUGGUCCCCCCCCCCAGAUGAGAACAGAGAGAUGGGUGACCCCUCUGUGGGGCUGAAGAUCCCCCAAGCUUUGGGGAAGAUCCUACAGCUGAAGGAGAGCCGCCAGGAGGAGAUGAACUCACAACAGGAGGAAGAGGACAUGAAAACAGACACUCGUUCAGCCCUAGGCCAGUCAGCGUCAGACUGAGGAGGACACAGCAUCUAUAUCCAAAAAAGAGAAAAACCGGAAGCGUUGGAACCGAAAGAAGAAGAGGCCCCAGGGGCUGCGGGGGUGUCAUCUGAGAGCUCUGGGGACCUAGAGAAAGACUCAGCUCGGUCUCGGGGCUCUGACUCCCCAGCUACUGAUGUUCAGAUCAAGUAUGUGACUGAAGAACCUGAAAUCUAUGAGCCCAACUUCAUCUUCUUCAAAAGAAUCUUGUUAUUUCAUGUUAUUUGAGACCUGUUUUGUAAAUAAAGCUGUUUGCGAAGGACGGAAAAAAAAAAAAAAAAGAAAACUCAGCCUUCAAAAUAUUCAA